AUUGAACGCUGGCGGCAUGCUUUACACAUGCAAGUCGAACGGCAGCGCGGGCUUCGGCCUGGCGGCGAGUGGCGAACGGGUGAGUAAUGCAUCGGAACGUGCCCAGUAGUGGGGGAUAGCCCGGCGAAAGCCGGAUUAAUACCGCAUACGACCUGAGGGUGAAAGCGGGGGACCGAAAGGCCUCGCGCUAUUGGAGCGGCCGAUGUCGGAUUAGCUAGUUGGUGGGGUAAAGGCUUACCAAGGCGACGAUCCGUAGCUGGUCUGAGAGGACGACCAGCCACACUGGGACUGAGACACGGCCCAGACUCCUACGGGAGGCAGCAGUGGGGAAUUUUGGACAAUGGGGGCAACCCUGAUCCAGCCAUGCCGCGUGCGGGAAGAAGGCCUUCGGGUUGUAAACCGCUUUUGUUCGGGAAGAAAUCCUCUGGGCUAAUACCCCGGGGGGAUGACGGUACCGGAAGGAUAAGCACCGGCUAACUACGUG
rnacentral:rRNA from 1 species